rnacentral:lncRNA from 1 species
AUGAUAGUUUCAAGAAAGAAUACUUCUAUCAUCCUUGGUUUUAAUCCUGUGAAUGAUAUGUACUAGCAAUGAAAGAUCUGUUGGAGUAAUUUAAUUCAUGUGUUCUUCACUCCUAUCUCUCACUUGGCGGUAUGACUAUAAGGGCCACUGACUGCCCAUUUGGUGGGGAAUGGGGUGCUUUAGUGAUAUACGUUUAUUUAUAUAGCCUGUUUUUCCUAAGUUUAAUGGCUCUUUGAUGUUACUAGUUUGCAGUAGCAUGUGUUGAGGUUGAAUAUCCUGAAACAGUUUUAUAUGGUGUCAACUAUUGUGUUGUGGGUCAACCCUUUUUUAACAACGUCCACAUGAUUUUUAUGUUAUGUUCUCUUUAUAGCUCCAUCAAAGCCUCUCUCUCAUUUUUUUAACAGAAAUAUUUUUUUGGGGGGUGGGAAUCAGGGAUUGAAUUCAGAGGCACUCAACCACUGAGCCACAUCAUCAGCCCUAUUUUGUAUUUUAUUUAGGACAAGGUCUCACUGAGUUGCUUAGUGCCUCACUUUUUGUUGAGGCUGGCUUUGAACUGUUGAUCCUCCUGUCUCAGCUUCCUGAGCCACUGGGAUUACAGGCAUUUGCCACUGUGUCCCGCAUCCUCUUUAUUUUUCAUAUUGUUAUUUUUUCCUGAUAUUUGAUUAGACAUUGUUAUUUUUUUGUGUGUAUAAACACAUGUAUAGACCAUGUACCUUUUCUUUAUAAUAUUCUGUAUAUAAAUGAUAACAUUGAGAUAUAAGCAGCCAAAUAGACAGUGUGAGCAUCAUAUCAUAUGCAGAGGAUCAGUUAAUAUUAAUAAGUUACAAAAAGAAGGCUAAUAUAUGAUCUCCUUAUUGUUAUAAAUUCCAGUAGGAAUUUUUGAUAAUAGAAUGAAUGUUGCACUUUAUAGUCCUUUCUGAUGAUACUAAGUUUGCUCCUAAACUUUUCCCAUUUUUCUAUUUGUCCUUUCAGGGAAUUACUGGAAAGAAAUGCAUGCCAUUGUUUUUACCACCUUCUUCCUCAAAACUAAAAUAUGUUCUGCAUAAUGAAUGAAGACUUUAUACUUAAUGUGUGUUGCAAUGGACACUCCUUGCUCAUCAGAAGAACUGAACUCAGAAAACUUGUUUUUGAAAAGAGACCUAAAAUAUAGCCCAGAAAAUUCUAAUACUUAGUUGUAUUAAUUGUCUUUAUUGUUGCUGUUGGACUUUAUCUCAGGAAGUGCAAUGGAAGAAACAUUUGUGUCCAGAGAAGUUUUCCAUAAGUAUAAAGUGCAUGCAUUUAUAAUUAUCACUUAUGACAGGAUAAAUUUGAACAUGACUUUAAAAUAUUAAAGAAUGCAGAAUCUUGUGAAGCAGGGUUUUUUUUGGUACUGAGAAAUGACCCCGUGGUGCUUUACCACUAGGCUUCAUCCCCAGUCCUUUUUAUUUUGAGACAGUGUCUUGCUUAGUUGCAGAAGGUAUUUCUGAGGCUGACUUUGAACUUGGCAAUCCUACUGCCUCAGUCUUCAAUUCUCUGGGAUUAUAGGGAUGUGCCACCAUGCUAAGCUAAUAUUUUUGUUUAUUAAAUUUUUUUCUCCUUCUAAUUCAUACUCUAAUACUAUUUGCUAUUAAAUUGAUACAAUUUGUAUUUUUUUCAUGGGUUGAUCUUAGCUAUGUAUUCUCUAUUUGGUAAACAUCCUUAUGUAUAAAUUUGAAUUUUUCAGCUACUUUGGAAUAUUUUCUGUGGAUUGGAAUUGCCGGGGAAAAGUAUUUCCAAAAUCUACAAUUGAGUAAAUUUCCUCCUAAUUGGAGUAAGUUCUUCCAUUGUUUAAUCAGCAUUCCCCAUUUUCUAAUACUGUGUAAACAUUAGAUAUCAGUAUUUUCUUGAUCAUUGAUAAUGUGUAUUAAAAAGAAAGUCCCUUCUUUUUCUGUUAAACUAGAUCAUCUUCAUAUUAUAUUAGUAUUCAUUUGUAUUAUUUCAAAUUCUUGUUCCUUUAUUUUCACUUCCCUAUAAUAAGUCUUUUUGUUACUGAUUACUAAGAACUCAUUUAUACUUAUGUUAACAUUAUGUCAUAUAUUGUAAAUGAAAUAUGUAUAUAUAAUAUAUACGCAUAUGUGUGUUUUUCCAUUUUCUUUACUGUGCUAUAAUUUUAUUUUUUG